AAGAAAUUAGUUAAAAAAAAUAACAUUAAUAUGUCAUAUUAAAAUUAUUAGCUAAUUAAUAUUUCUUU
rnacentral:tRNA from 1 species